CUAAUGAGAACGGUUCCGGGAAACAUACAAAACACCUGAAAACUCUGAAGUCGAGCCCAUCAGCAGUUGUUACUCCUUGUUUUACGUUGAUCUCGAGCUUCGAACACUAACAGUGAAUGUAAACACCUCCUCCAUCCACGAUAUACCGGCCUUUGGACAAAACGAAAGAUUGUGUAGCGUAACACUCGUGACAAGUGCAGACAAGGAAGUGCAGGUAGCAGUUCGUCGAUCGCUGCUGCCUUCGCCUUGCUUUAGUCACGGUGUCCAAGUUUUCGAAGGACCUCACCUGCGAACUUCAUGGUGCGAGAACUCUACGACCUCUUUCCGGUCAUUGGGGAGCAGCUUGGCGAUCUGGUACAACGCCAGCAGUGUUACCGAUGGUUCUUUCACUAUCGACUACCACGCAGUUUUAAGGCAAACGGCCGAUAUCCCACAUUGUGAUUUUAUUUCACAGAUCUACAACCAGACAAAUUAUUCACCUUCUUCUAAGGACGCAUGGUGGUUGUGCCGCACUGUUCUUUAUGCCACGACCUUUCCGAGGACCUUAACAGCAACCAAGAGGGAGUUCUUCACAGUGUAUCCAUAUUA